UACAGAGGUGGCAAGCGUUGUUCGGAAUUACUGGGCGUAAAGGGCGCGUAGGCGGCCUUCUCAGUCAGACGUGAAAUCCCCAGGCUUAACUUGGGAACUGCGUCUGAUACUGGGAGGCUUGAGUGCGGGAGAGGGAUGUGGAAUUCCAGGUGUAGCGGUGAAAUGCGUAGAUAUCUGGAGGAACACCGGUGGCGAAGGCGGCAUCCUGGACCGACACUGACGCUGAGGCGCGAAAGCCAGGGGAGCAAACGGG
rnacentral:rRNA from 1 species